rnacentral:rRNA from 1 species
UACAGAGGGUGCGAGCGUUGCUCGGAAUCAUUGGGCGUAAAGCGCGUGUAGGCGGUCUCUUAAGUUUGGUGUGAAAGCCCAGGGCUUAACCCUGGAAGUGCACUGAAUACUGGGAGACUAGAGGGUAAGAGGGGAGAUUGGAAUUCCUGGUGUAGGGGUGAAAUCCGUAGAUAUCAGGAGGAACAUCAGUGGCGAAGGCGAAUCUCUGGCUUAUUUCUGACGCUGAGACGCGAAAGCGUGGGGAGCAAACAGG